GGUGGGGCUGCCGCCAACCCCCAGCUCCCUGGCAGACUGGGCUCCGGCUGUGUUACCAGCUCUCGCAAUUUUCGCUGUUCUGGGUUUUUCUUUUCCGUCCCACGAACACAUGAUGACAGGCCAGAAGGGACCACUAUAAUCAUGAAGUCUGACCUCCUGCAUAACACAGGCCAAAGAACAUCACUCCAUAACUCCAGCAGUGGAGGGAAUUAUUCUUCUCUCCCAUGUGGAGGUAUGCAGAUUUCCUUGAUUUGAUUACCUGCUGCAGCUGAUCAAUUUGCCUGCAUUUCCAUCAUGUCUCCAGUAUGUCUGGUGCAGAGAGAAUAAUACAAGCCCUGCCUGUGCUGUGUGGAGUCUUUUUUAUAUCCUAGCAAGUAAUGAGUCAUUUUUGGAAGCAUGGUGGGGAUAGCACAAGGAAGCUUAUUUCUGGUCUAUGUGUGUUUAGGGGUGCCAUCAGUUCCACUCACAGUUUGGGACAGCCUCUUUCCAGCUUGCGAAUGAGGUGUUUCUGCUGCUAAAGGGUGGCUUAAAUGUUAUUCCCACAAAGUUACCUGUCGGGACUACGGCCUCAUUGAUCUGCAGGAAACAUUUCUGCUGCACUUCCAAGUGGGGUAGUGGUGCAGCAACCGAGGACAUAGCACAGUAGUUUUCAACCUCUGGUCCGUGAACC